GACUAGGGAGAUUAGGCAUGGGGACUCUGACUUGGGCACGGAUUUCCUUGGACCAAUAGGCAAUGUGUUGUGGUCACUGAGCCUCAGAGCCAGACAGGUCUUAAGUGAUCUGUCCGAGCUUUUCAUUUUAUGGAGAGAGGAAGUGCCUUCUUCUCUAAGGUCAUUCAGCUAAUCAGCUCAUCGGGGAAGCAAGAUUCAAGGUGGGAAGCAGAUGAGCAGAUGAGGGGUGCAGCCUGGCCUGGGAAAGAGGGCUGGAAUUCCAAGGAGGUACCUGAGACCCUAGCUCAGAGCCCCCUUCUUGGGCUUGUGGGUGAUGCAGCUGCUCUGAGCCACAAGAUCCUUGAUCUACAUUGCCGUUGCCUGGGCCCUUGGGCUUUCCUGGGGUGACCUCUGUCUAGACCUAUAUCCAGUUGGUAUUACAGAGAGUUGGUUGAGGGACAGAACAGGGAAAAUGAUCCCUUUUCUUGCUGGCCCUGGAACAGCCACAGGAAAGGAAGAAAGGAGCUGAGGCUGGGCCUCUGAGAACAGAACACAGUCAGUGCCUUACUCUUCCCUCACAGGCUCUGCAAGCUUCACUGCUCUGUGUCCAGGCAACCAUCCCAUGGUUUGGUUUG
rnacentral:lncRNA from 1 species